rnacentral:lncRNA from 1 species
GUUGACUUUGCACGUGGGCCAGAUGAACUUAGAACUCUUUACCUAGCUGCAGAGUCCCAGGAGCCUACAGGCACUUGGUUUGUCGGCACUUGCCACUGGCAGGGGCAAGAUCUUUGCAUUAUUGCUUAGGCUAUUGGGGUGUUUCUCUUUGGAGUUUAUAUACAAACACACCCAAGGCUGAUGUUUUAUAUAUAUAUAUAUGUACAUGCAUGAAGGCCCACUACUCUUUCUUUGUGGAAACUGACAGUUCUACCUCAGGAAGCUGGAUACCAACCUUGGUCCCACUGUCGUUGCUAGAGGAGGAAGACAGUCGGGACUUCUUCGAGGCCAAGGACACGCCACUCCCCUGUAACUUGCCUGCCUCAUCAUCACUCCCAGUAACCUCAUAAUGACCUUUGCUCUUUGAUCCCAAGCCACCAAAGGUACCAAACUUCAGCUUUCCAUGCUUGCCUUUAGCGUCUCCACCUGCAAACUCCAAAGUCCCAGUUGGGGUGGAAGGCGCUGAGAACUCCCUCUCAUCACUGAAGGAGUUGGAGCGGUGUCGUGGCUUCUUACUUUUAAAUAGGGAGAAUUUGCCUUUGGGUGAAGAUGCUUCCGCUUCCACUUCUCCUUCCAGGGAGCCCAAGCUGGCCUUUGAGCUCUUCAGGUCCCCUUUGGACCCAGAAAUGGAUGCUUCAGGUGAGCCAGUGACACCACCUUUUCCUUUAGAUUUAGAAAAGAUAUGCUUGGGCAUUUUGAUUUUGGAUUUUUUCAGUUUUACUUCAGACUCUUCCCACUUGCCUUCUCCAGCACCAGCCUGCACAUUGGCCUCCACUUUAGGGAAGUUGACAUCCACUCCUACUUCUCUACCGAUGAGCUCGCGGCCAGAGAAGGUAAACUUAGGGAUCUUCAUCUUGGGGAAUGUUACUUUUCCAGAUUCACUUUCCAAGUGACCUUGAGGCCCAGACACACUCAGCCCGGGACCCUGGAGUCCGGUCUGGCCCCCUUUCACGUCUCCUUCUAUCUUUGGUCCUGAGAAAUGAAGGUUCCCAGCAAGUUUAGAUGUAUCCAAGUUUAGAGAAGAGGAGACUUGGGGUCCCUUCCACUCAACUCCAGAGCCUUUGACACUCAUAUGCCCUUCACCCAGGUUGAUAUCUGGGACACUGACACCCCCUGAAACAUCUACACCUCCUUUGACUUUGGGGCCCUUCAAGCUGACACCAAAAUCUGACUCAGGAGAUGCCACAUUAAAGGAAGGCCCCUUGACACCGAUAUCAGGAACAGCUCCAUGGAGACCUAGUCCUGAACCUUUCAGAUCUCCUUUAAUUUCGGGACCAGAAAUCUGCCCUGAUGAGAGUUUCACAUCACACCCAGAAGCCUUAAUUCCAGGCAUUUGGAGGUUUCCUUCUGGGCCUUGAAUGCUGAUGCCUGGAAGAGCUCCCCCAAUCGCUGGGCCUUUCAAUUCACCCGCAGCCCCGAGGCUCCCCUUCACUUUUGGUCCUUCCAAGUUAAAGUCCAUGCUUGGUGCUGAGAUCUGAGGCCCUUUCAGAUUCACAUCCAUCCCUGAUCCCUUUAGUUCUCCACAAACUUGUGGCCCCUUGAUGUUAAUGUCCAAGUCGGAUCCCGGAGUGGAGAUGCCAAACUGAGGCAGUUUCAUGUGGGGAAGUUUGACAGCACCUUCUGAAGCCUCCAAGCUAACAUCAGGAGUAGCCACAGACACUUUAGGACAUUUGAUGUCUCCAGACACAGCCAGAUCUCCCUGUAGACUUGGUCCCUUCAGUGUUACAUCUGGUGCCCCAACACUGAGUGCUGUUGUGGCAUCAAUCCCUGACAUUUUCACACCAUCUGCUCCUAUAUGUACUUUUCCACCAACACCUUUGAGGUCAAGACCUGGGGCGUGCAGCUUCAUGCUGGGACUGGAGGCACCCAGGUCUCCCUUCAAACUUGGUCCUUUCAAGUUCAUGUCAAGAUCAGGCCCAGACACUUUUGGCAUAGAGAGGUCCACCGAAGGCAAGUCUACUCCUGGGCCUUUUAGAGACAGAUGAGGCCCUUCAAGCUUCAUAUCUGAUGUGCUCAACCCUCCUUCAAGAGAGGGCAUCUGAGCGCCGAUCUCAGUGCUCCCACCUUCCAUUUUCACACCUGGGGCACUGAUCUUGGGCAAGGAAAACUUAGGGAACUUGAUUUUCCCUUCUGGACCUUGUAGAUCUAUGUUAGGUCCUUCCAGUCCCACACUGGGAACAUCACCUUUUAUCUUUGGUCCUUUCAAAUUAACAUUCACAUCGGGUAUGGAGACUUGAGGAGCAGAAACACUAAAAGAGGGUGCUUUGAUUUUAGCUUCAGGGCCUUCGAUGUUGAUGUCAGGUGUGUCCAAGUUUGCCUGCACCUUGGGACCUUUCAAGUUGCCCUCUAUCUUUGGCCCUGAGGCUUCCACGCCUGGCACCUUGAACUUGGGAGCCUUCAUAUGAAUAUCAGGAGCUUCCACAUUAAUCCCUGGUGAAGAAAUAUCCACAUCUGGUACCUUGAUUUCACCCUCCAGCUUGGGGCUAGGUAGGGGAGCCUCUGCUUUAAAUUUAGGUGACUUAAUGUCAAAUUCUACAUCUGGAAAGUACAUUUUUCCAAACAUAGUUUUCUUGACUUUGGGAGAUUUUACUUCAGCUUUGAGUGCAGCAUCAGGCCCUGCAACACUAACAUCUACAUCAGGAGCUUUGAGACUGGUAUCAAUCUCACCUCCAGGAAUAUUCAAAUCAAAUCCCUGUUUUUUGGCUUUAACUUUAGGACCACUCAUGUGAAUUUUAGGCAUUUUAAACUUGCUUUUCUUGCUCUUGCCACCAAUGUUUAUUUCAGGAGAAUCAACAUUCAGCUCUGCUUCAGGGACAGUCACAUCAACUGUGGGUGUCUUGAUGUCAGCUUUGGGGCUUUUUGCACCAAAUCCAAACUUGGGUUUCUUAAAUUUCGGAACUUUAACAUCCGGCCCCUCAAUAUUAAUAUCAGGGCUUUCCAUGUGGACAUCUAAGCUUGGAGUUUCUAAAUCAACUUUAGGCCCCUUGAGGUCUACCUCACCACCUCCUAACUUAGGCGCAGAAAUUCCAACUUUCGGUGUCUUAAGGUGCACAUUAGCAUCAGGCCCAGUUAUUUUAGGAACAGAUACCUCCAGCGAUGGCAUCUUCAAGUUAGGCCCACUAAGUUUAGCAUCAGGGCCUUCAAAAUCCAGACCUGGACCUUUCAUAUCUAUUUCAGGUCCUUUGAGAGUACCUUCAAUCUUAGGGACAGACCCAUCAAAGGCUCCUUUUACUUUGGGUCCUUUUAACUCCAGAUCAACAUCAGGCAUAGAGAUCUUGGGAGCCUUGAUGUUAAUCUCAGGCAUCCUGAAUUUGGGACCUUUUACUUUCAUAUCUGGACCCUCAACAUUAACAUCUGGAACAUCAAUGUCCACCUUGGGUCCUGAAACAUCAAGGUCAGCCUUGGGCAGAUUUACAUCCACUUCUGGGCCCUCUCCUUUGAAGCCAGGCAUGCUGAACUUGGGCAUUUUCACCUUGGGCAUCUUCAGGUGCCAGUCUGGGCCAUGAACAUCCACAUCUGGAACAUCAAUGUCCACUUUGGGGCCUUUGAUGUCAACUUCAGGAACUUUAAUCUCACCUUCCACUUUAGGCAGAGACACAUCCACAUCACCCUUCACUUUGGGGCCUUUCAGGUUUAAGUCAAUAUCAGGCAUGGAGAUCUUGGGAGCCUUGAUGUUCAUCUCAGGCAUCUUGAACUUGGGGCCCUUCAGUUUUGCAUCUGGCCCUUCAAUGUUCACAUCAGGAACAUCAAUGUCCACCUUGGGUCCUGAGACAUCAAUGUUAGCCUUAGGCAGGCUCACAUCCACUUCUGGGCCCUCUCCUUUGAAGCCAGGCAUGCUGAACUUGGGCAUUUUCACCUUGGGCAUCUUCAGGUGCCAGUCUGGGCCAUGAACAUCCACAUCUGGGGCACUGAUGUCCACUUUGGGACCUUUGAUAUCAACUUCAGGACCUUUGAGGUCUCCUUCCACUUUUGGUAGAGAAACAUCUACAUCACCCUUCACCUUUGGCCCUUUCAGGUUCAGGUCAACUUCUGGCAUUGAAAUCUUGGGUGCCUUGAGGUGUAGAUCAGGCAUUUUAAAUUUAGGGCCCUUCAGUUUCCCUUCUGGACCAUGAAUGUCAAUAUCAGGAGUGUCAAUGUCCAGUUUAGGGCCUUUGAUAUCCACUUUGGGACCUUUCAAGUCCCCUUCUGGUUUAGGAAUAGAAAUGUCCAAAUCUCCUUUUAUCUUAGGCCCUUUCACAUUCAAAUCAAUGUCACUCAUUGAGAUUUGUGGAGUUUUGAAUUGGACAUCUGGCACCUUAAAUUUGGGGCCUUUGAGUUUUCCUUCAGGACCCUCAAUGUCUAUUUCUGGCCCUUUAAGAUCACCUUCAACAUUAGGGAGUGCAAGGUCCACAUCUCCCUUAACUUUAGGUCCUUUUAGAUUUAAAUCAAAGUCAGGCAUGGAGAUCUUGGGAGCUUUGAUAUGCAUGUCUGGCAUUUUAAAUUUGGGUCCUUUUAAUUUUCCUUCUGGAACUUCAAUAUUGACAUCAGGAGUGUCAAUAUCCACAGUGGGGCACUUUAUAUCAAUACCAGGACCCUUUAAUUCACCUUCCAUUUUAGGCAAGGAAGCAUCCACAUCACCCUUCACUUUGGGACCUUUCAGAUGCAAAUCAAAGUCAGGCAUAGAGAUCUUGGGAGCUUUUAUGUUCAUCUCAGGCAUCUUGAACUUGGGACCCUUCAGCUUUGCAUCUGGUCCUUCAAUGUUCACAUCAGGAACAUCAAUGUCCACUUUAGGCCCUGAGACAUCAAUGUCAGCCUUGGGCAGAUUUACAUCCACUUCUGGGCCCUCUGCUUUGAAGCCAGGCAUGCUGAACUUAGGCAUUUUCAUCUUGGGCAUCUUCAGGUGCCAAUCUGGGCCAUGAACAUCCAUAUCUGGGGCACUGAUGUCCACUUUGGGACCUUUGAUAUCAACUUCAGGGCCUUUGAGGUCUCCUUCCACUUUAGGUAAAGAAACAUCUACAUCACCCUUCAACUUUGGUCCUUUCAGGUUCAGGUCAAUUUCUGGCAUUGAAAUCUUGGGUGCCUUAAGGUGGAGAUCAGGCAUUUUAAACUUAGGGCCCUUCAGUUUCCCUUCUGGUCCUUCAAUAUUAACAUUAGGGCCUUCAAUGUCCACCUUGGGUCCUGAGACAUCAAGGUCAGCCUUGGGCAGAUUUACAUCCACUUCUGGACCUUCUCCUUUGAAGCCAGGCAUGCUGAACUUAGGCAUUUUCACCUUAGGCAUCUUCAAGUGCCAGUCAGGACCAUGUACAUCAACAUCGGGGGCACUGAUGUCCAUUUUGGGACCUUUGAUGUCAACCUCUGGGCCUUUGAGAUCACCUUCCACUUUGGGCAGGGAAACAUCUACAUCACCCUUCACUUUGGGACCCUUAAGAUGUAAAUCUGGCAUGGAGAUCUUUGGAGCCUUGAUGUUCAUCUCAGGCAUCUUGAACUUAGGACCCUUCAGCUUUGCAUCUGGACCUUCAAUAUUCACAUCAGGAACAUCAAUGUCCACCUUGGGUCCUGAGACAUCAAGGUCAGCCUUGGGCAGGUUCACAUCUACUUCAGGGCCUUCUCCCUUGAAGCCAGGCAUGCUGAACUUGGGCAUUUUCACCUUGGGCAUCUUCAAGUGCCAGUCUGGGCCAUGAACAUCCACAUCUGGAACAUCAAUGUCCACUUUGGGGCCUUUGAUGUCAACUUCAGGGACUUUAAUCUCACCUUCCACUUUGGGCAGAGACAUAUCCACAUCACCCUUCACUUUGGGGCCUUUCAGGUUUAAGUCAAUGUCAGGCAUGGAGAUCUUGGGGGCCUUGAUGUUCAUCUCAGGCAUCUUGAACUUGGGACCCUUCAGUUUUGCAUCUGGUCCUUCAAUAUUCACAUCAGGAACAUCAAUGUCCACCUUGGGUCCUGAGACAUCAAGGUCAACCUUGGGCAGGUUCACAUCCACUUCUGGGCCCUCUGCUUUGAAGCCAGGCAUGCUGAACUUGGGCAUUUUCAUUUUGGGCAUCUUCAGGUGCCAGUCUGGGCCCUGCACGUCCAUAUCUGGAGCAUUGAUGUCCAUUUUGGGACCUUUGAUGUCAACAUCUGGGCCUUUGAGGUCACCUUCCACUUUGGGCAGGGAAACAUCUACAUCACCCUUCACUUUGGGACCCUUAAGAUGUAAAUCUGGCAUGGAGAUCUUUGGAGCCUUGAUGUUCAUCUCAGGCAUCUUGAACUUGGGGCCCUUCAGCUUUGCAUCUGGACCUUCAAUAUUCACAUCAGGAACAUCAAUGUCCACCUUGGGUCCUGAGACAUCAAGGUCAGCCUUGGGCAGAUUUACAUCCACUUCUGGGCCUUCUCCUUUGAAGCCAGGCAUGCUGAACUUGGGCAUUUUUAUUUUGGGCAUCUUCAGGUGCCAGUCUGGGCCAUGGACAUCCACAUCUGGAACAUCAAUGUCCACUUUGGGGUCUUUGAUGUCAACUUCAGGAACUUUAAUCUCACCUUCCACUUUGGGCAGAGACACAUCCACAUCUGGAACAUCAAUGUCCACUUUGGGGCCUUUGAUGUCAACUUCAGGAACUUUAAUCUCACCUUCCACUUUGGGCAGAGACAUAUCCACAUCACCCUUCACUUUGGGGCCUUUCAGGUUUAAGUCAAUGUCAGGCAUGGAGAUCUUGGGGGCCUUGAUGUUCAUCUCAGGCAUCUUGAACUUGGGGCCUUUCAGUUUUGCAUCUGGCCCUUCAAUGUUCACAUCUGGAACAUCAAUGUCCACCUUGGGUCCUGAGACAUCAAGGUCAGCCUUGGGCAGGUUCACAUCUACUUCUGGACCCUCUGCUUUGAAGCCAGGCAUGCUGAACUUGGGCAUUUUCAUUUUGGGCAUCUUCAGGUGCCAGUCUGGGCCCUGCACGUCCAUAUCUGGAGCAUUGAUGUCCAUUUUGGGACCUUUGAUGUCAACAUCUGGGCCUUUGAGGUCACCUUCCACUUUGGGCAGGGAAACAUCUACAUCACCCUUCACUUUGGGACCCUUAAGAUGUAAAUCUGGCAUGGAGAUCUUUGGAGCCUUGAUGUUCAUCUCAGGCAUCUUGAACUUGGGGCCCUUCAGCUUUGCAUCUGGACCUUCAAUAUUCACAUCUGGAACAUCAAUGUCCACCUUGGGUCCUGAGACAUCAAGGUCAGCAUUGGGCAGGCUCACAUCUACUUCAGGGCCUUCUCCCUUGAAGCCAGGCAUGCUGAACUUGGGCAUUUUUAUUUUGGGCAUCUUCAGGUGCCAGUCUGGGCCAUGGACAUCCACAUCUGGAACAUCAAUGUCCACUUUGGGGCCUUUGAUGUCAACUUCAGGAACUUUAAUCUCACCUUCCACUUUGGGCAGAGACACAUCCACAUCACCCUUCACUUUGGGGCCUUUCAGGUUUAAGUCAAUGUCAGGCAUGGAGAUCUUGGGGGCCUUGAUGUUCAUCUCAGGCAUCUUGAACUUGGGGCCCUUCAGUUUUGCAUCUGGCCCUUCAAUGUUCACAUCAGGAACAUCAAUGUCCACCUUGGGUCCUGAGACAUCAAUGUCAGCCUUGGGCAAGUUCACAUCCACUUCUGGGCCCUCUGCUUUGAAGCCAGGCAUGCUGAACUUGGGCAUUUUCAUUUUGGGCAUCUUCAGGUGCCAGUCUGGGCCCUGCACGUCCACAUCUGGAGCAUUGAUAUCCACUUUGGGACCUUUGAUGUCAACCUCUGGGCCUUUGAUGUCACCUUCUACUUUGGGCAGAGAAAUAUCUACAUCACCCUUCACUUUAGGACCCUUAAGAUGCAAAUCAAAGUCAGGCAUGGAGAUCUUGGGAGCCUUGAUGUUCAUCUCAGGCAUUUUGAACUUCGGGCCUUUCAAUUUGCCCUCUGGUCCUUCAAUCUCAAUGUCUGGCCUGCUCAUGUCCACAUUUGGCCCUUUGAGGUCUCCUUCCAAUUUGGGAACAUCUACAUCCACCUCCCCCUUUAUCUUUGGACUCUUUAAGUGAAGAUCAAUGUCUGGCAUGGAGAUUUUGGGAGUUUUGAAGUGCAUGUCUGGCAUCUUGAACUUGGGGCUUUUCCAUUUACCUUCUGGGCCUUCAACAGCAACUUCUGGUAUGUUGGCAUCCAAUUUGGGGCCCUUGAGAUCCAGUUCUGGACCCUUUAAUUCUCCUUCAAUCUUAGGGACUGAAACGUCAAUAUCUCCUUUGAUUUUAGGACCCUUUAAGUUGAAAUCAACAUCAGGCAUGGAGAUCUUGGGGGCCUUGAAGUGCAUGUCAGGCAUCUUAAAUUUGGGGCCCUUCAGCUUCCCUUCUGGCCCUUCAAUAUUCACAUCUGGAACAUCAAUGUCCACCUUGGGUCCUGAGACAUCAAUGUCAGCCUUGGGCAAGUUCACAUCCACUUCUGGGCCCUCUGCUUUGAAGCCAGGCAUGCUGAACUUGGGC